rnacentral:rRNA from 1 species
AUUAACGCUGGCGGCUGCAUAACACAUGCAAGUCGAACGAAGUGGCGGACGGGUGAGUAACGCGUGAGUAACCUGCCUUAGAGAAGGGGAUAGCCUUUGGAAACCGGGAUUAAUACCGCAUAGUCAUAGAUGGGCUCGCGUCUGAUUAGCUAGUUGGUGAGAUAACAGCCCACCAAGGCGACGAUCAGUAGCCGGUCUGAGAGGAUGAACGGCCACAUUGGAACUGAGACACGGUCCAAACUCCUACGGGAGGCAGCAGUGGGGAAUAUUGCACAAUGGGGGAAACCCUGAUGCAGCGACGCCGCGUGAACGAAGAAGGUAUUCGUAUCGUAAAGUUCUGUCCUAUGGGAAGCAGUACCAUAGAAGAAAGCUCCGGCUAAAUACGUGCCAGCAGCCGCGGUAAUAC